UACGUAGGGGGCUAGCGUUGUCCGGAUUUAUUGGGCGUAAAGAGCGUGUAGGCGGCCAUGUAGGUCCGGUGUGAAAACUCGAGGCUUAACCUCGAGAUGUCAUCGGAAACCAUUUGGCUAGAGUCCGGAAGAGGAGAGUGGAAUUCCUGGUGUAGCGGUGAAAUGCGCAGAUAUCAGGAAGAACACCAAUGGCGAAAGCAGCUCUCUGGGCCGAUACUGACGCUGAGGAGCGAAAGCGUGGGGAGCGAACAGG
rnacentral:rRNA from 1 species